GGCAAUGGGAGUUGUUGGCCCGCCUUGACGCAGUGAUUCACGGGACGGGGGCGUGGUCAACUCGGAAUGCAUUUUCAAUUGAAUUUUGCUACAUCCGUUGCUCUCUAUGUAAAUGAAAAUGCAAUCCCAAGUUUCCCACCCGUAAAUGUAAAUGCAUUCAGGGAAAAUUACAUUUAAAUGAUCAUUUUGCUACAGCUUUUGCUUGACCAUGUAAAGCAUAUCUAAUCAAUCCAGCUAAUACAUUUCCAAUUUAAUUUUGCUACAUCCGUUGCGCUCUAUGUAAAUGAAAAUGCAAUCCCAAGUUUCCCACCUGUAAAUGUAAAUGCAUUUAGGGAGAAUUACAUUUAAAUUAUAAUUUUGCUACAGUUUUUGCUUGACCAUGUGAAACACAUUAUAUCAGUUCGGGUAAUACAUUUCCAUUUUAAUUUUGCAACUUCUAAUGCAUUAAAAUAUGUAUUUAAAACAGGGCUGUAGAAAAUGGAAAAUGUAAAUUAAAGUAUUACAUUUUCAUUUUUAUUUUGCACCAAGCAUUGCACAUACAAGCAUGGAAAAUGUAAACUUAAAUAGUCGCUUUGCAUUGCCAUUUUACAUAUUGCAUUGUCAUAUUGCAUAUUACAUUCUAAAUUGAAUUAUGCUACCCAUAUGCUUCCAUAUUUUCUAUCAGGUUAAGAAUAACUGUGAUCAUAUUAUAAUGACGUAAUCGAAUUUGGUUAUCUGGUCUUCCUGAUGUUAGAACAUUUAUAUAAAAAACAUAUUUUAAAAUGUAUUUCUGUAACGUUUAAUUUCCUUUUUUGAUGAAAGUGUGUCUGUGUUCAUCAAGACAUGAAGACUCUGGAGUGGGACAAGAGAAUGAUGAUGGGGUGUAUAUUCCAAUAGACACAUUAAGUCACAUUGUGAUUUCAGUGAAAGCUGAUAAAUACAGAGGGCUGGACAGUGGUUUCAUUCAUUAGGUGAUUAAGAACUGACCAUAGCCUAACAUUAAUUUAGUGACCCGAAUUGCAUUGUUGAAUACAAAGGAAAAUGGUAAAGAGGUGGGACAAGGAUGCUGACAGGACAGGAGGAGGUGACAUUCAGGUUAGUGACAGUACAUCAGGGCCACCAUUUAAUUUAAUGUUAAUUUAAUUGCUUCCAAAAUCAAUACUUGACAAAUCUUUAGAAUUAUAUCUGCAAAGCUGAAUUUCUCAUUGGUGGAUAAAGUAUGACAGCAAUUGUGAAGACCUUAGACGUGCAGUAUAUGGUUCUUCUCUCUUUCAUUUAUAUUGAUUUGACUUAAUUUUCUUGGUACUAAUAAUGGGGAUAUUCCUAAUAUAAUAUAUUUUAAAUACAUGCUUAGAACAUAUCUCAUUUGCUCAUUUGCUUUGUAUCUAAAUGAAAAGUACCUCUUUAAGGUCUAAGCUAUGUUUCAUUUUAUUUAGACAUUCAACGCAGACAUUUUUAUCCAAAGCAACUUGAGGAAGAAAACAGAAGCAGUUCAUCCUAAAAGUGGGCUGCUGUAAUGUUUACAUCUAUGGAAAGAGGAGCUGAGAAGAAAAGAGAGGCUGGAAAGCAGUACUUCUUGUUGAGGACAAUCCUGAAUAGGAACACUUUCUCAUACACAUAGAUUAUUAUUAGUGUUUGAUUGUUUGUUUCAUUUUUAUGAAUUGUAUUGUUUUAAUUUUUCGUUUUAUUUGAAAUUACCUAAGUUAGAUUCAUGCUAAUACUUUAACUGGACCUUGUAUCUUUGCUGGCUGGCUGGCUGGCUGUAGAGUUGGUUUCACAUACACAUUAAGUUUCUAUUUAACUAACUUUUAAGUUCAGUUUGGUUUAAACUUGUAUUUACCCAUGGUAAUUCAUUUAAAUUUCUAUUCAUGCUUAUAUAUUAAUUUCAAUGAACUUCUGUAUUUGUGUAUAGCUGGCAAUUUGGGCAAGCUACGUUUAACACACAAAUGUAACUGUCACAAAGGUUUUUUUUAUUAUCAGUUUGUUCUAAACUUGUUUGUUUACUAAGGAUGAAAUUGCUUUGUAAUUUAAGUUGUUGGUAGAUUCAUGCCAAUAAUGUUUUUGAACAAACUAGUACUUUUGUUUAUUGCUGGCAGUUUAUACUAGAAGAGUUUUAACACAUACAAUGUUGUAGUGUUAUUGACUUGUGUGCUAUUGAUUAAUAAAAAGGCAAACAAUUUGAAAGUAAUUUUUCGUGUGAUUUAUUUAUUAAUAUAAUUUGGGCAAGAUUAGGCUGAGUUAUGGCUCAGUUUUGGAAGUUCUGGUUAAAUGCUGGUUUUAAUAUGGUUGACCUAUGGCUGAGAACUGGUACCGAUGUUAGAACCUGUUCUGGCCCAGGUUUGGGCCAAUUAUGGGCUAUUAUCUGUCAGAGACAUGGGCCAGUUGUGGCCCAUGUGUGGCCUUUGUCCGUAAUUCAGAACUGGGCCACUGUAGGGCCGUCAUUCUUCGUUGUAUGUGGGCCGAGGAAAAACUGGUUGUGUGGGCCGGAGCUGGGCCGGAACAAAAUUGCUA